CCCUUAGAUGUCCUGGGCCGCACGCGCGCUACACUGACAUGUUCAACAAGCCUCCUAGUUCGACAGGAUUUGGGAAAUCUUUGAACGCAUGUCGUGAUAGGGAUAGAUCAUUGCAAUUAUUGAUCUUGAACGAGGAAUUCCUAGUAAACGCGAGUCAUCAGCUCGCAUUGAUUACGUCCCUCCCCUUUGUACACACCGCCCGUCGCACCUACCGAUCGAAUGUUUCGGUGAAGAUUCCGGAUAGGACUUUUUUGAUUUAUUUCAAUUUUGUCUUAAAAGCUAUCUAAACCUCAACAUUUAGAGGAAGGUGAAGUCGUAACA
rnacentral:rRNA from 1 species